rnacentral:misc_RNA from 1 species
GAUGAAGAACGCAGCGAAAUGCGAUAAGUAAUGUGAAUUGCAGAAUUCAGUCAAUCAUCGAAUCUUUGAACGCACCUUGCGCUCUUUGGUAUUCCGAAGAGCAUGCCUGUUUGAGUGUCAUGAAAAUAUCAACCUUGACUUGGGUUUUGUGCUCUAGUCUCGGCUUGGAAUUGGGUGCUUGCCGCUUUUACGAGCGGCUCACCUUAAAUGUAUUAGCUGGAUCUGUCUUUGAGACUUGGUUUGACUUGGCGUAAUAAGUAUUUCGCUAAGGACAUUCUUCGGAGUGGCCUCGUUUCUAGGACGCUUGUCCGCUUUCCAAUACAAGUUCCACCUCGUGGACAUGACUUUUUAUUAUCUGGCCUCAAAUCAGGUAGGACUACCCGCUGAACUUAAGCAUACAAUAAGCGGAGGA